UGACUACAGUAGUUUUUAUGACAGUCUAGUUCGGGUUGGCCAGCGCUACUCCAGAAGUCACCUGUAGAUGUCGCCAAAAUAACUCAACCAACACAUGGAGUAGGCUAUGUGAUGUUAUAUUUUAAUAUUAGAAUACAUUUUCUCAUUAAACCUGUUAUCAGAUUUAUAUUGUUAUUCUGGUUGUUAGAACUGAAGUUGAACAUAAAGCGUCUCUUAUAAUUUCUUAACACAAAGCAUUUUAAUCAGAGAGGACAGAACUUCGCUGCUGUCUUAGCAUUGCAAAUUCAAAUGCGACCUGUAAAGUUCCCGGGAAUAAGAGCAGAGGAAGACACGAUGGGAUGCACUUCUAGCACUCAGACCACAGCUCAAGACACAACACGACCCAACACCAAACGAGAUGGGAGCACAUCAGGAACAAAUAAUGAAAACGGUGGCCCUGCAGCAGACAGCGAGACAAUUCCAGACCAAACCCAGGCCGAGGAAUCUCCACAGACAUCCAGUGCAGCUCCUGUUGCCUCGGAGGAAAUACAGAGCUCUGUGGCUGCCGUAGCUCACAAUGAACCAGAAGCAGCUGCUGCUGAGGCCAUUACAUCUGACCAGCCUGCUGAACCCGAAUCAAACCCCUCCACAACAGCUGACAAUACCGAAGAACCAGCACCAAGUGAAAACACAACUGAGGACCAGGCUAAAUCUUCCCCACCAGAGGACGUGCCUGCCUCUGGUGAAGAUAGUUAAGUGCGCAUCAUUUGGCACAGUUACUACAGAAUCCGGAUUCAACCACCUAUUUUCAAUAAAAUAAAGAUUCACAUGAAUGGUUUCAAAAUACAGUGGAACAUUAGUUUAUUUAUUAUAUAGAUAUUGCUUGUUCGUUGCCAAGAUUUAGACCAACUGGUCUUCAGAGACUCUGUGCCUGUCUUUGUAUACACAGGAUACAAACAUCACACUAGUUAUAGUUUAGUGAAUUAUAAUUGCUGGCUUUAGCUAGAGAUUUCCUUCAUCGAUAUUUAAUAUUGGUGCCUAUUUUAGUGGCUUUACCCCUUUAUAAAAAAUGCAAAAAGCCAAAGAGAAUAUGAAAAUCGUGGAAUGCUAUUUAUAUAAUUAUGUAAUAUUUUAACCAACUGAAAUAAAAU
rnacentral:lncRNA from 1 species